GAUAAGAUGGCUGAAUUUUAGGUUAUAAAUUGUAAAUUUAUAUAUGGUGUAAACCUCUUAUCA
rnacentral:tRNA from 2 species